UCGAGUUAGGGUCCUUUGGGGCCCAACCUCCAACCCUGUGUCUACCUUACCACGUUGCUUCGGCGGGCCCGUCGGGAAACUGACCGCUGGAGGGUGUGUACCCUCUGGCCCGUGCCCGUCGAUGGCCAAACUCUUUAAAUUCUUGAUGAAAUGUGUCGUCUAAGUACUAAAGCAAAAAUAAGCAA
rnacentral:misc_RNA from 2 species